rnacentral:rRNA from 1 species
GGACUUACGGUUUUGUAUUGGAAUGAGUUAAGUAUAAACCCCUUUACAAGUAUCAAUUGGAGGGCAAGUCUGGUGCCAGCAGCCGCGGUAAUUCCAGCUCCAAUAGCGUAUAUUAAAGUUGUUGCAGUUAAAAAGCUCGUAGUUGGAUUUCUGUUAAUAAUUUAUAUAUAAUAUUACGGUAUUUAUAUAAUAUUAACAUAAUUCAUAUUACUUUAUUUUUAGAGUAUAUGAAAUUUUACUUUGAGAAAAUUAGAGUGCUUAAAGCAGGCAUAUGCCUUGAAUACUCCAGCAUGGAAUAAUAUUAAAGAUUUUUAUCUUUCUUAUUGGUUCUAAGAUAAAAAUAAUGAUUAAUAGGGACAGUUGGGGGCAUUUGUAUUUAACAGUCAGAGGUGAAAUUCUUAGAUUUGUUAAAGACAAACUAGUGCGAAAGCAUUUGCCAAGGAUGUUUUCAUUAAUCAAGAACGAAAGUUAGGGGAUCGAAGACGAUCAGAUACCGUCGUAGUCUUAACCAUAAACUAUGCCAACUAGAGAUUGGAGGUUGUCCUUUACUCC